ACGUGCUGAAAGAGUUUGGUCUGGUUCAUUAGAGCCAGAUGUAAAAAUGCUGCCUCCAGCUAGCUCCAGCCCCUGCAAACUGCCUUUGCGAGCACCUUUCCUCCCUGCCGCCUGUCUCCUAUGAGCCCUCUGAUCUCUGCCCGGCUGGAGGCCUGAAGAACACUUACCCAUUUGUAACAGAAACUAUUCACGACGCACGGGCCUGAAAGGUCACUGUCAGUUACUAUUGCUUUUCUGGUGUCACUGGUAUAGAUCACGUCUUCUAGCAAACUUUAAGGAAGAAAGCUUUUGUUACAAGGAGAGACGAUUAUACGCAAAUUGCAAGAUUCUUCAAGUGUAAAGUCGUAUGCCAGGAGUAUGAUAUUAGCGUUUCUUUUAAGUAGAAUAACUUUGGAAUAAGUACCUUGUCCGGUGAAUUGCCUUCCUUGUCAUUCAUCACUGCAUAUCAUCUUUGUAGAACUGCAGUAACUGGAAGGAAGGAAAAUACUGGUUCAAUUCUCUUCUUGAUGAGACCCCUGCACCUUCACCCAGAUUCCUCCCCGGGCAGCCAUGGAUCUGACCACCGAGGGAAUCUGGCCCACUGAAUUCCUUUUCUUUCUGUGCAGUUGAAUGAAAAGUGUGUGUCUUUUGAAGAACAGUGACUGAAAGAAAUAUUGAUGACUGCCAGGAUAUCUAGAGAAAAGGAUAAGAAAAUUACUCUACUACAACAGGGAAGACAAAGGAGCUUUGUUAACUCUUUCUUGUAGGUUGUAUAUAUUAAUAGUAACAACUAAAGUUUUGUAUUUUUUCAGAGAAACACACAAGGCUUUGAAUUGUAUUGUUUUAAUUGCAGCUAACUGAAUGAAUUAAGUGGAAAAUCGCACACAGUACUUUGAUUGUCUAACUCUCUAUAUGUGAAGCUUUGGGAACAGUUUGUUAUUAUAAAAGAACAGCACUAACAAGAACUCAGCCAACAUGUAAUUGCUAGGCUGAGGGGCAGUUUGGGGAAAGCUGUUGU